CAGGACGAACGCUGGCGGCGUGCCUAAUACAUGCAAGUCGAACGGUCUUUCUACGGAAGCUUGCUUCCACUGAGAAGAUAGUGGCGAACGGGUGAGUAACACGUGGGUAACCUGCCCAUAAGAGGGGGAUAACAUCCGGAAACGGGUGCUAAUACCGCAUAGUUUUCUUGAUCGCAUGAUUGAGAAAGGAAAGACGGCCUUUGUGCUGUCGCUUAUGGAUGGACCCGCGGCGUAUUAGUUAGUUGGUGAGGUAACGGCUCACCAAGACGAUGAUACGUAGCCGACCUGAGAGGGUGAUCGGCCACAUUGGGACUGAGACACGGCCCAAACUCCUACGGGAGGCAGCAGUGGGGAAUCUUCCGCAAUGGACGAAAGUCUGACGGAGCAACGCCGCGUGAGUGAAGAAAGGUUUUCGGAUCGUAAAACUCUGUUGUCAGAGAAGAACAAGUUGGAGAGUAACUGCUCCAGCCUUGACGGUAUCUGACCAGAAAGCCACGGCUAACUACGUGCCAGCCGCCGC
rnacentral:rRNA from 1 species